rnacentral:misc_RNA from 1 species
CAGAGUUCAUGCCCUUACGGGUAGAUCUCCCACCCUUGAAAUAUCUACCUUUGUUGCUUUGGCAGGCCGCGGCCUCCGCUACCGGCUUCGGCUGGUGAGUGCCUGCCAGAGGACCCCAAACUCUGAAUAUUAAUGUCGUCUGAGUACUAUAUAAUAGUUA